CUGAAAGGUACUGGAAAGGCAUAUGGGAGAAGGAGGAGCACAGCAACCUCCUUGAACAGAACCCGGUUAUCAUAACAGUGACAGACGUACAGGAAAGAGUCUCAGAUAUGAAAAAUGUGUGUAUGCG